AGGAGUUUCCUAUUUAUAAAUUUGUAAGAAAUUCAGAAAUAGUUUCAUAAUUUCAAAUUUGAAUUUCGCGGAAAGUGCAACGUCAUCAAAUUUUCUAGCGCCAUCUUGAAUUUCACUCUAAUAUUACUUAUCAUCAGAAGGUAAUAAUAAGUUGAAUUUUUUUCUAAUUUCGUAGUUUAAAAAAUAUACGCAAUAUCAAUCUUUAUUGUACAGAGUUUCAGGAUGUUAAAGGUUAAAAGUAUAUUGGCAAAAGAAUGAGAAAAAGGGGAGAGAUCGGUGGCUUUAUUUCGUAUCCGUGUAUGUGCUCGUGAAACCGUUAUCUGGCCGGCUUUAUAUCGUCCGGUUAAGCACUUGGCUGUCGCUUCUUCGUCUUUCUUAACGGCUCCCCGUCCAUAAGCCCGCCGCGCAUGCGUAUUCGGGACGAGUGCGUCGAUACAAAAAGGAGGCAGAUUGAUCAAGGAUCAUUACCUCAUCCGUAUUCUAUCUUUAUCGACACCUCAUACGCGCAUUCUGGACAGGGUCGGCCCUGAAAUUUCGAGGUUCCGGGCUUCACGUAAAAAAGAGACGCCAUUGACGAGUACUAAAGUAACGCGCCAAAACGGCUGCAGGAAAAGGAUCGGUAAAGAGAAAGCUCCGUAGCCCCUGUGCGGGUCAUGCGACACGACCAUUCGUUCAUCGGGUCGUCGCUUUCGAUUUCUCCAGGUGCACUUACCUAGAGAAGCUUCCUUCGUCGAAUGCUCCUAAAUCGUCGGGGAAUUUUCCGUUUAAUCGAUCGACAGAUCGAUUGUUAACGAGACACGAAAAACGGUUUUUCGUUGCCUUCUGAUAGAUCCAAUGUUAAACUGUUAGCUCGUCCACGAGUUGUCGAUCGCGACGAGAAAGAAGAAUGAACUGUGGUGUACGAGCAGGCAACCGGUAUAUAGCCGGCCCACAUUCCCUUCUGGCUCGAGUAACCCAGAUUCUUCCCACCCAAGUGUCUGGGGAACAUCUUCGGGGGCCUGAAAGGGGCCCUGGAUAAUUCCCAUCUUGCCCCGGCACCUCUCACUGGUCACCUUCCCUCACCCGUUACCUUCGAGCUUCCCCGAAGUAAUCAUCUUUCGGUGCUAGAAUUCGUUUUUCUCGCGUUGGACAUCCAUGAUUGUAAUUGAUUCUUCUAAAGGAAUUGUUCUUCCUUGGUUCUCGUUAGAGCAAUUGAUUAAUGGUAUCGGUUAAUUGUUUAGUUUGAGAAAGAAUAAAAUCUAAUGAUGAUGUAUAAAUUAUAAUUUAUUGAUACAAAAAUGUAUGGCAUUAUGCCACCAUCAGCAUUGAUAAAAUCAAAUUUUAUAUUAAUUUAUAAUUAAUUACUACAGUGUUCUGAAACAUUUAAUUGGUGUUUAACGUCGAGCCUCUGUGUUUAUAAAUAAUUCAUUCUUUAAAAUAUACUUUUCAUAUUGGAAUAUAGUCUAAUUCAAUUAAAUUAUCUAAUGAAUUAUACAAAAAUAACUCAUACACUACAGUAUAACCCAUGCACCAUAAAAAUCUAGUCUUUCAUUCUUCUUCUUGGAUACAUUUCUCUACUAGUUCUCUUAAAUUAGGAUUCUCCAUGGCAGCUGCAAUUCUUU